GGAGGGGUCGGAUAAUGGUAUUCCACUAGUCUUGAAAACUAGCGCCCGCAAGGGCUUGUGGGUUCGACUCCCACCCCCUCCGCCU
rnacentral:tRNA from 3 species